GACGAACGCUGGCGGCGUGCCUAAUACAUGCAAGUCGAACGAGAGCGACCGGUGCUUGCACUGGUCAAUCUAGUGGCGAACGGGUGAGUAACACGUGGGUAACCUGCCCAUCAGAGGGGGAUAACAUCCGGAAACGGAUGCUAAAACCGCAUAGGUCUUCGAGCCGCAUGGCUUGAAGAGGAAAAGAGGCGCAAGCUUCUGCUGAUGGAUGGACCCGCGGUGCAUUAGCUAGUUGGUGAGGUAACGGCUCACCAAGGCCGUGAUGCAUAGCCGACCUGAGGGGGUGAUCGGCCACAUUGGGGCUGAGACACGGCCCAAACUCCUACGGGAGGCAGCAGUAGGGAAUCUUCCGCAAUGGACGCAAGUCUGACGGAGCAACGCCGCGUGAGUGAAGAAGGUUUUCGGAUCGUAAAACUCUGUUGUUAGAGAAGAACAAGUGCUAGAGUAACUGUUAGCGCCUUGACGGUAUCUAACCAGAAAGCCACGGCUAACUACGUG
rnacentral:rRNA from 1 species